rnacentral:misc_RNA from 1 species
GAGUAGCACAAGUUCGGUUCCUAAGAGCACAUGGAAACCGAAUUAGCCUAAGAAGGAGGAUAAAGCUUUUUCUAAGCUUAAGCAUGAAGAAAAUAAGAGUAAGCCUCAUGUGGAUAAUAAAGAUAAAAGAAUGAACUCUUCCCAAUCUCAAAGAAAUAGGGAUAUAAAGUGCUUUAGAUGUUUGAGGAUAGGUAAUAUUGCUUCACAAUGCCCCAAUA